UACGGAGGGGGCCAGCGUUGUUCGGAAUCAUUGGGCGUAAAGGGCGCGUAGGCGGCCACGCAAGUCGGAUGUGAAAUCCCUCGGCUCAACCGAGGAACUGCAUCCGAAACUGCGAGGCUCGAGUCCUGGAGAGGGUAGUGGAAUUCCCAGUGUAGCGGUGAAAUGCGUAGAUACUGGGAGGAACACCGGUGGCGAAGGCGGCUACCUGGACAGGUACUGACGCUGAGGCGCGAAAGCGUGGGGAGCGAACAGG
rnacentral:rRNA from 1 species